rnacentral:tRNA from 1 species
AAAAUUAGUUAAUAUAAUAACACGGGCUUGUCAAGCCCGAAUAAUCAAACUCAUGAUAUUUUA